rnacentral:lncRNA from 1 species
AGGAAGAGAAAGAUGACCCAGAUCCAUGUGGCUUUAAUUAGCCACAGGUAGCUAUGAAUAUCUUACAAGGGAUGCAUAAUUACAGGACAAUUUGUCUUAUCUUGGUGAGCAGUUUAUAUCAAUAACAAUUGGCUCUGAGUUUAUUGUGCAGACGUUUUGUGGAAUGAGAAUUUACUGAUAUAAAUCUGCUUGAUAAAUUGCAAGCCUUUAGAGCUUUGGUUUUACUGGGUUACAGGGAGAGCAGAUGGCUGGGAAUUGUGGGAGCCGUAUUGGCCUUAGUCUUAGAUUGUAGGAUCAAAAGCCUCUCCCUGGGGUUGGGGAUUUAGCUCAGCGGUAGAGCGCUUGCCUAGGGAGCAUUCAUGGAAUGUUUUCAGCCUGAAAAAGACCCUUCUGGGUCUCCAGCAAGGUUUGACCCCUGCUGAGCCCUGCCCUUGCAUGUGGAAGCCUUUUGUUCCCAACUGGCAGUCUGGCCAGGUACUUCUCACCGGAGUCAGAAUUAGACUGGCCUUCCUGGUUAUUUUCCUAAUUUAUUCAGGUCACGUAGUAGGUCCUUUGUUACUGAAGUCUCAGCCAGGGUUCCCCACUGUGCUUGGCAGAUACCUGCUAAGUGGUGUUCUUUGGAUAUAUAGUUUGGUCAAUAAAGAAACCAGGGGUUCUUCCUCUUCUGGCUUGACACGAAUAACCUGUGUGUGUGUGUUUCUUUCAUCCCACAGGCUUUCACCCGAUUCUCGGUACCGUGUCGGU